GAGAACAUAAAUUGACAUGGAAGCAUAGUAAUAAGUGAUAUAUGUA
rnacentral:guide_RNA from 1 species